ensembl:lncRNA
AGAAGAUCCGGCAUGGAUCCGGCGUGGAACGAGAUUGAGAAGACAGCGCCGAACAGUGUGACGGAGAGGAGUUGAAAAGCUGCUUUUCAAUGUCUUUACAGCAACAACAACAAAAAAGACGUAUUUUCAACGUGUUGUGCUCAUAGACCCGUCGCUUUACCAGGGAGCAUCCCAAAGUGCUAAUCGGUCUAAAUGUAAAUCAUGCUCUGCAGCAGUGAUGUAAGAUUUAUUCCGAAACAAUUAAUGUUGAAAAUAGCUGUAAGAUCAUGACAUGUUGGCCUUGCCUGCCAUUCCAGUGAAAUUACAAAUUAGUUCAUUAAUAUGUUAAUUAGACCAUGUUAAUUUUUUGUCUACGCUGGCCACUGGAACAGCAUUAGAGUUCUCAUAAUAUUUCUAAUUGCAUGUCAAUGAUGCUAUUGAGCUCAUUUGGGCAGGAAUUUGUAUGCAAACAUCACGUAAAAGGGGUUGGCUGGUGAAACUUCCAUUCAGCGCAAACUAAGAUUUAUCCAAACUUCUCAACAAAGGAAUUCAAAAAUGGGAAACAUUUGGGAGUCCAACCUGUGUGUCCACCCCACAAAUCCCUCAGCAAUCAGGAUGAUCCUGAGAAGGGUUGGUUUUCCAGGCUCAUCUCAGAAGGCUGUGUGGAGUCCUGUGCUGACCCAGCUGUCCCAGAGUGCUGUACACCAUGUGGAGGCCAAUGCCAGUCAUGACCUUCCCUGCCCCCUGACAGUGGAGCUGUUGAAGGCAAGAAAUCUUUACAUUCCUUGGUUGAAGGAUAGUCCUACUGUCAAUCAGGAAGUGAGCCAGCUCAAGAGACCUAAACUGUCAUGCCCCAAGUUGACCCAGCUGUCCCAGGGUGCUGUGCAGCAUGUGGAGGCCGGUGCCAAAGCCAGUCAGGUAUCCUCGUACCUUUCUUGGAAGAGGCUGAAGGAUUUUAUUGCGAAACAGAAGAAGGUGAGCCAGCCCAAGAGGCCUAAACUGGUCCCCAGCAUCAGGGCCCCCAAGGACCCCAGCCCACUACGACAGAAGCAGCAGCAACAGAGGAAGAGGUCAGCCGAUAAGGUGUAUGGCAGCAGGGGGUGCACGAGAGCAGCCAAGAAGGACAUCUCUGGAGAUCUGGCCCAGCUCAAGCCUGGUCAGUCCACAGGAGACGCCUGGAACAAUACAGACACUGGAGCUGAAGAACCUCGUCGUCUGGAGGUUAUGAAGAACCUGACAGGUCUGUGGGGCAGCACUGGGCAAGGCCAGCCUCAGCCGACUCCACGAGCCAACCGUCUCAGCCCCUCCCUGGCCCAGUACUUAGCCUCCACUGUCACACCGAGGACCUUUGACCUCCAGAUAAUGGGCAUGACCUCUGACCUAAUGGACUUCUUGGACAUGCCCGAGGAGAGACUGUCUAUAGAGCUUUGGGACCUCGGGGAGGGCACAGGGGACCAGCGCUACAAAGCCAACUGGCAAUUCUCAGAGGAGCACGGCAAUGUGCUGAUGGAGGGAGUCUGGCUCCAGAAAGACGACAACUGGUAAUUUGGAGACCUCAGCUCGCCCAAACGCUUCCUCAGUAGGAAAGAGGAGGGAGCUUAUCUGCUGAUAUUCACUCAUUCAUAUGCACACAUCAGUAAAGGCUUUGAGGAAAAUAGAAAUUGCAAUUGGAAGUUCAGUUUACUUUCUGAAUUUUAAAGGAAUUGACACCAACCCCGGAACAAAUACACACAGGCUCACAGGCACACACAAAAAAAGGAUGACUCUUGAGGAUUGCAGUAUCUUAUCAUUUUUAUAUACAAUUAAUAUUUUCAUUAGCAUACAUACAGUCAUUCUUGUGUUUUUAUUCAUUUUUAAAAUCAUGACAACCAGAGAAGUGUAGCAUUGUAGGGUUGCUGUGUCUGUGCAUUUGAUUAGUCUAAAACAUCAUGAACUGAUGGUGUCACAGGUGGGAUCUGAACCCUGGUCUACUGCGUGAGAAACCACCAUCUUAACAAUUAGGCCAAUAGAUAAUUCCUCAAUUACACUGGCAUAAGGGCCACUUAUAGGAAUGAAUCUCUACCAGGUAUAGUAAGACAACAUAUUUAAUAACUUAUGUGUCAUAUUACUUCCCCGAAAGGAAUAUAGAUGUGUUGAUCCCCAGGAUGGGAUAUAUGAGGAUGAUAUGUCCACCCAAGCAUCCAGACGCAUGAAAUAAAUUAGCUUCCAAAAUGCACUUGAUUGCUGAAAUAAAUGGAUUUACGUUAAUGAUUCUAUAUUUUAUUCGCUUUUUUACAGCGCAUGGUUAUCUUUGAGCUUGUGAAAAAGUGAGUUUGUUUCAGUGUCAAUUGGUGCUUUUUUUACUCAUUCAUCUAGAGUGUGUUAUUUAAAUGACUGAUUUACGUUGGGGUUUUGGUUAAUUCAGAUGGUAUUUACAGUGCUUUCAGAAAGUGUUCACACGCCUUGACUUUUUCCACAUUUUGUUGUGUUACAACCUGAAUUUAAAAUGGAUUCAAUUGAAAUGUGUUUUGUCACUGGCCUGCAAACAAUACCCCAUAAUAUCAGAGUGGAAUUUAGUUUUUUAGAAAUGUUUACAAAUUAAUUAAAAUUGAAAAGUUGAAAUGUCUUGAGUCAGUAAGUAUUCAACCCCUUUGUAAUGACAAGCCUAAAUAAGUUCAGGAAUAAAAAUGUGCUUAACAAGUCACAA